rnacentral:rRNA from 1 species
AUACGGAAGGUCCGGGCGUUAUCCGGAUUUAUUGGGUUUAAAGGGAGCGCAGGCGGAGAUGCAAGCGUGACGUCAAAUUUCGGGGCUCAACCCCGUCUCGCGUCGCGAACUGCGUCCCUUGGUUGCGGGAAGGGGAGGCGGAACUCGUGGUGUAGCGGUGAAAUGCAUAGAUAUCACGAAGAACUCCGAUCGCGAAGGCAGCCUUCCGGCCCGUCAACGACGCUCAUGCUCGAAGGUGCGGGUAUCAAACAGGAUUAGAUACCCUGGUAGUCCGCACAGCAAACGAUGGACACCCGCGGUUUGGCCUAUAUGGCUGAGCCGCCAAGCGAAAGCGUUAAGUGUCCCACCUGGGGAGUACGCCGGCAACGGUGAAACUCAAAGGAAUUGACGGGG